UGUCGUGUUGUUUUUCUUCUGCCGCUUUUUU
rnacentral:sRNA from 1 species